AAUACCCUAUUAUUUUAAAAGAAAUUUAUAGUACCUAAUUAGUAGUAGUUAAGGUCUUGAAAAUUAAAGAAUUUGGCGGUAUUUUAGUCUAUUCAGAGGAAUCUGUCCUAUAAUUGAUGAUCCACGAUUUUUUUUACCUAUUUUAAAAAUUUACAUAUCGCCGUAGUUUGAAUAUUUUUAAAAAAUAGUAAUGUUCAAAAAUUAUUUUUAUAAAAGAAAUCAGGUCAAGAUGUAGUUUAUAGAUAGGAAGAGAUGGAUUACAAUAGAAAUAUUUAUUAUGGAAUAAAAAAUGAAAAAUUUUUAUGAAAGUGGAUUUGAUAGUAAUUUUAUUUA
rnacentral:rRNA from 1 species